rnacentral:misc_RNA from 1 species
AACAUAUUUGGGCCUCAACCAAGUUAUCUGCCUGCAAUGGGAUAUUUCGGUAGAGGAAGCAAUUUUUCAGGAGAUUCUGGAGGAUUUAAACUCUUGCAGCAAAGAUAUGAUGGGUUUGAAAGCAGUGGGUUGUGGUCAGAUUGGUCAAAACCUAGGAAUGGGAAGGGUUCUGUGGUGCAUUUGUCAUCAUCAACAACUGGUCCAACCAAAACCAAUUGGUUCACUAGGUUUUUCUGCAAAUCAUUUUGGAAUGGCUUCUCAACAAAAGGAAUCAUUUUAUGGAUUUGGAUCUCAUUUAGGCCCCGGCUAUAAAAGCUAUCCUCAAGGUCAAACUAAUCGAAACUCUGGCUAUGAUGUUUCCUCUUCCAUGUUUGGAAUGAAUGGUCAGAACUGGCCCACACUUCAUGAAGCAAGACAGGGGGGAAGGUGCAAUGACUUUUCAUGCAGUUGUAAUGUUGCAGUUGAUACAUUAGGUGAGCGAAAUAGAGGACCUAGGGCAUUCAAACCAAGAAGUCAGACAGGAGCAAAUGAGUCUGUGAUUGAUAAUCACAGGAAUGCAGUUUCUGAUGUUUAUAAU